rnacentral:tRNA from 1 species
GCAUUAUUAAUACCUUGUGUGGGUCUCCAAAACCCGAUGUGGUAGGUUCAAAUCCUACAUAGCGUG